AUUGAACGCUGGCGGCAGGCCUAACACAUGCAAGUCGAGCGGGGUUUUCGGACCUAGCGACGGACGGGUGAGUAAUGAGUAGGAAGCUACCCGACAGAGGGGGAUACCAGUUGGAAACGACUGUUAAUACCGCAAAAUGUCUACGGACCAAAGUGUGGGACCUUCGGGCCACAUGCUAUCGGAUGCGCCUACGUGGGAUUAGCUAGUUGGUGGGGUAAUGGCUCACCAAGGCGACGAUCCCUAGCUGGUUUGAGAGGAUGAUCAGCCACACUUGAACUGAUACACGGUCCAGACUCCUACGGGAGGCAGCAGUGGGGAAUAUUGGACAAUGGGCGCAAGCCUGAUCCAGCCAUGCCGCGUGUGUGAAGAAGGCCUUCGGGUUGUAAAGCACUUUCAGUAGGGAGGAAGGGUGUUGUGUUAAUAGCACAGCAUUUUGACGUUACCUACAGAAGAAGCACCGGUUAACUCUGUGCCAGCCGCCGCUGUAAGAC
rnacentral:rRNA from 1 species